rnacentral:antisense_RNA from 1 species
AUUCCCUUCAGUUUCAGGAGUGAAUUGAUUAUUCACAUGUUCUAUUUAGGGGGUUUAAGCUGCUAGUCUUUAAAGAAUAAAUGCUGAAGAUUGUCAUUGAUUCCUCUUUCUUUCCUCCCAUGUCUGCUCUGGGCCUUCUCAUUGAUGUAGUAUCUCAGGUUACUUCCAAAAUAAUUUGAGAAACGGAUUUAUAGAAGAAGCUAGCUUUCCAGUAGAAAAGUUUAGAUAACAAGAUUAAUGUGAUAAGAACUAAGAAAGCCCUUCCUAGUUUUCAUUGAAAAUGUGUUUUUAAUGCCCAGAGGUGCCCAGUCAAAAAGGAAAUAUUACAGAAGGAUUAUUUUCAUCAGCAGAGUUCUUGGGCAUUGCAAGUUCCAGUGUAAUUAGGGAAAUCACAUGUGAGUACAUCAAUACACUUCAGAUGCCAAUACGUUGGGCUUAAUGAGGACAGCAAGUCUGCUUUUAUUAGGGGAUUGAAUAAAAGUGAAAGGAGUGCUUGAAAAGAAUGCGUAAUUUUGGAUGGGAUAAUUCAUCACUUCACUCCAGGUCAGUUUUUCACAGUAAGAAGUGCUGGCUCUUCAGAAAAUUUGGCAUAACCAAAGUUUGUUUUCACUACCUCCUCCUUCUCACAUUGUCCUUUGUCACACCCCCAGCAGGUCCACAGUGAUCCUGCAGGCCACCCCCAUGGGCCCUGCCCGUUUUCUUCCACCAGGGGCUAUCUUACAUCAAUCUUUCAAGGUCUCCUCAGUAAUGUAGGCCAGUUGGAUUUUUGCUUUCUUUUCCCAGAGGACAAUUCAGCCUCAGCAUCUUAGUCUAAAAGGAUUCAUGCAAGGGUGUCAGAUGUUUUAUUAGGCUAACGGGAGGUAUUUUGGGUUGUGGGGAGCACUUAAUGCAACCCUGUAUGACAUUCCCUACUCAGUGAUGUUCAGGCUGCACAGGCCAACAUGGAAAGGGCUUAAGGGAGAUGACAAAAAAAAUCUCUUCUUCCACAAGGAUUUUCAAUUGAUCAAUUUUGUAACUUUUUUGUGAUGAAACUAUCUGCACUGCAACUAAUGAUUUUUUUUCUCAAGGUGGAAAAGGUAGGAGCAACAGCUUUCAGUUCUAAGGAUACAUUCUGUUGACCUUCAUAAGCCCUAGGAACUAGAGGGGUAAGAUUGAGGAGGAAAUAGAGAAAAUAAUUUGCUCUAUAGUAUUUUCCCCCUGAGCUGCCAUCUGGGGCUUUCAGAGCUUAGCACUGCACUCUUGCACUGUUGCACACACCACAGGAACAAUACCAGGAGAUGUCAAACAUGAGUGGUAUUGGUCACUGGAAACAGCAGAUUCCAAAUAGCUGUCUCACCAGAUUGUUCUUUCAGAAGAUUAAUUUGUGCCAACUACUUCUUUGUCAUGGAUCCUUCCUGGUUCUGCAACACAGAUGUGGAAAGUGAAGAGAACAUGUCAUGGGAUUCCAUUUCUAAGAGUGGAAAAUAUACAAUUUACAUGGGAUGUUUAAGAUAUUAAUAUAUUGUUCACCAUGUGUAUCCAGAGCUUUAGUAGAAGUAGAUUGAAAGAGCCGUUCAUGUAUACAUGGUGCUCCUCAUUGUCAAAUGCUGAAGCCUGUUUCAGGCUGGGUUUGGGGGCUGGGGGUACUUAUGGGACAAAGUCUGACUCUCGGUCUGUAGGCUGAGUGCCUUCUUAGUGUGUUGGGACUCAGCAUGUAUUCACCCCAUCUGUACUCACAAGCCUAAUUCAUUAAUCAGGAUGACUUACCGGGCUGUGAGCCCUUUGAGGACAGGACCUUGUACCUUUAUCUUGUGCCUCUCAUGCCUAGCAUAGCACCAGGCAUGUAAGAGGUUCUUUUUAAAAAAGUGUUUUACAGCUUUAUCAAGGCAUACAUGAUGUCGGAUCAACUGCAUGUGUUUAAAGUUUUACACUUGAUGAAUUUUGAUAUAUGUCUAUACCCAUGAAACCAUCACUGCAAUCAAGAUAAUAAACGCAUUCAUCCGCCCUAAAAUUUCUCGUGUCCCUUUGCAAGCUGCUCCCCUUCCUCCCAUUGUUCCCAGACAACCACUAUUCUGCUUUCUGUCACUGCAGAUGAGUUUGUGUUUUCUGGAAUUUUAUAUAAAUGGAAUCAUACAACAUGUACUCUGUUUUUCUUUCUGGCUGUUUUCACUCAGCAUAAUUUUCUCAAGAUUCAUUGAAGUUCUAUACAUUAAUAGUUUGCUACAUUACAUUGCUGAAUAGUAUUCCAUUGUAUAAAUCAUAAUAGGCACCUAACAAGUGUUUGUGGCUUUACAUUGAUUUGAAAAUUAAUUUUUAAGAAUAUAAUUGGGCGAAAAGUGGACAAUGGGAUACCACUCUAUUCUUGGUGAGUGGGUUCACUCAGGAAGUGGAAAUAGGAAUCAGGAGAUAAUUUGGCAUGGUAGAGACUUUUGUUGUCAUCCAAUAUCUAUUUUUCCUUCUUUCUUAGUACUAGAAUACCUGAGUUUUGGCUGGGCACAGAACUGUCUGGAAUACAGACUACAAUUCCCAGCCUUCUGUGCAGUUCUGUGUGGCCAUGUGACUAAGUUGUGAUCAAUAUGAGUCACAGAAGAAUAGAAGAACAACUCAGAGGAGGAGGAAGUCAGACAUAGCCAGACGCGGCUGCUAGCAGUUCCACCAAUGAAAGAGGAGACCGGGAUGUUUAAAACAGGCAAACACAAGGUGCGAAAAACCAGAAGUGAAAACUUCUGAGGUCAUUUAAGCAGGGACUGUCGUUAUUCCCGGAAGCAGAGAGAAGUUCAGUCCCUUGCCCAACAUCACACUGCAAGCAUGCGUUGGAGCUGAGAUUCAAACCCAGGCAUCCAGGGUCCAGGGCCCAUGCUCUUAACAUAUUCCAUAUCUUAGGAUAAUUUCCCCUAUUUAAACAAUAAAAGUGCAAAAAUCUUGUGGCUAGCCAAAA